UUAGAGAGUGGUUAAGAAUAAAAAAAGUAACUGGAGGGAUAACUUUCCCUUUUCUAUGUUGUAAGAAUAAAUUCCCAUAUGAGGAAUUUAAUGCAGUUCUUAAGUAUGGGUUUGUGAUUCAUCCACUGUUUUUAAUAUUUUAUGAUUUAUACAUUAGUUACUCUUGCAUUUUUAACAUUUGGGGAUUCUACAGUUAUUAAUACUUCUUCUAAAUUCUCUUUUCUUUCAAAGAAUUUGUUAUGGCUUUGGCAUGUGGUGCAUGGGAGAGCAUGUCAUGCAUUACUGUUGUUUGCAUCAAGUUUUUGUCGAAAAAAACUUCAUUGAUCUGGCUCAGUCCCAUGGACAGAAAUUAGUGUUUAAAAAGAAAAUCCUUUCAGACGAACGUAUUGCAUACUUAACAUUGCUUGGGUUGAGUUAAGAAAGUUUGAAUGUGUUGUUGUGUUUCAGGUUUAAGACUUGGAGGAAGGAUACUUGCCGAUGAAACUGGGACAGAGUUAGUAUUGAAAGAGAGACCUGGAUUUUGACUUCAAUCCAUUUACAGAAAAUAGAAUUUUCUUCAGCCAUCUUGCUUUCUCUUAGUGCUGGUUAUUUUAUCCUCCCUUCUUGAUCUGGCCAUAGCUGUGGACAUGUUGUACUCCUAAUGUUUAUAGUCAUCAUCUGACCAAAGAUAUUUAUAUACUACAAACAAGAGAAGUUCAUGGUUCUGUUGGUUCUUCUGGUGGUCCUGAUGUGGUGCUGACGGUCCUACUAUAGUUCUCAAAAAGUAAUUGAUCCUUAGGUCUACCUAAACCAUCUUUUUAGCUUUAUAAUUAGCAUCUAAUUUUGCAAUUAUCAUCUGACACAGGACAUUUGUACUAAUGCACUAUAAAGUAAUGUAUGAGAGAACUCUCAUGUAGCAAUGAG
rnacentral:lncRNA from 1 species